CUGGCCUUGAGCCAUAUGCACCCCUGGUAUUAGGAUGAAGAAGCAAGAAAAUCACAUGCAGAACAAAAUCAGUUGGGGAGAUGGACCUCAGUCAUUACUAACAAUAACGUCUUCAUGCAAUAUUUAAAAAGUCAAAAGGAAAGGAAGACGUUCUACAAACAAAAUGAGGACAUGUUGGCCCUCAAAGUCCAGCUUCGAAGGAAGGUGUGUCUUGUUCCAGGGAGCUGCUGGCUCUGUGGAGCAGAAGUUCCAAGACUCCAGUAGGAAGCAAAGGAAAGGGACAGCGUGGAGACAGAGUGGAGUCUCCCAGCUUCUGCAGCAAAGGACGAGGCUGCCUUGCACUUGGGCGUGCACAGCACUACCCAGGGACAUUGCUUCCAGUUAUUCACAUGGCACUGAAGGUGGACCACCAGCAACAUCCUUGGAGAAAGCCAUAGAGGCUCCUCUGUAAGCAUCCUGGCUAUCUCCUUUGAGUUAGCCUGAGCUGAACCAUCUUAUGACCCUGAAACCAGACUGUUCCUUUGCUGUAUCCCAUGGAAGCCAGAGGAAGAUGACAUGGAAGUAAAGUUGUAUGUUUCCCUAAAUCCACUUAAAAAUCACCUCCACAGCUAUGAUCCUGUAGCCAGGGAUGGAACCUGUCAGUCCUUCAGUGGGGCUGGGAAUCUCUUUCUCCCAUCCUAGCUUGAUCCAAGACAACAGGCCCAUUGGUCCUGGUCCAGAUGGCUCCUGCUCAGGGUUGUCACCAAGCUGCCAGAAUCCAAAAGAAAGGACACCAGUUGGGGUCUGGGCUGUGUCAGAUGACUGCCCCCCAGUGUCUGUAUUUAAGUUGAGCACAAGGGAUGAGGUUUGAGACAAGGAAGAGGGAUACAGUCACUAUCGGGGAGAGCUCUGCAGAUGGAGGGAACUGAGAUGGACCCUGCAGGAGGACGUGCCUGGAGACAGUCCCCGGGCUAGUGGGCUGGAGGACAGCCUUGGGAACAAAGUACUGACCAUGAGCACCACCUGUGAGACUAGAACGUUCACAUACACAGCCACAUUUGUGGAGCAGCCCCAGUUCCUCCAACAAGGUCCAUGCUGCAUGAUAGAGAAUCCUACCUGGCAGGCAGCUUUGCCUGUAGGACGCAUGGCUGACAUUUGUUGGCUCUUGCAGCCACCUGCUGGUCUGCAGUACAUCUUUGGGUAAAGUAGCAACAGCCCUCUUCUUAGGGAACUUUCCUAGAGGUGGAUGGAAGCAGCCAGGCAAAAUGCCCAUGUGAUCUGAACCUGGCUGGGACCAGGACCUGCUGGUCCCUGGGGUGGGCAAAAAUAGAACAGCCUUCCUGUGGCCCUACUGAUACUUAUCCACAAACUUACUAGUGAUGGACAGAAUCCUUAAACAAGGCUGACUUUGCAUUGUUCUUGUAGGAGGUCAGGCAGGGGUCAGAGGGGAACUGUUGUGAGUUAGACAGAGGGAUUGAUCCUGGAUCUGACACUAGUAGGAUGGCCUGUGACAUCCUCAGAAGCAUGAUGUGACCUCUGGGAGGGAAGGACAGUGGACUUGGAAGGGAAUCAGCCCCCGAGGCAGAGAUGGAUAGCAGGAAAACUGAGGCGUAUCCAUAAGAAUGGCGGGUACAGACUAACUGUGAGGGCAUCAGGAAAUCCAGAUGCCUUUACUCCCGAGGGACCCAAGGUGUCUAUGACGCAGGACAGACAGAUAUGGAAAGUUGUAGGAACACGGGAGAUAGUGUACACCUGAGGGUCCUCCAGCUGGAAACCAAAUUCCCGCACAAUCGGUAUUUACUGCGAAGGUUGCCAACACAAGAGUUCUUUUCUAGAGAGACAUUUUCAGCUAAGGUUAAGGUAGCAGUAAGGUAGGGUUAAGGCCUGAAUGUUUAAGGCCUGGGCAGGGCCUUUUCCCCUGGGUAUUUUCUGGAAAUCACAAGACUGAACUUUAUUCACAGUGGAGACUCCCUCUACCUCCCUGCAUUGCUGUGAUCCUGGGUCAUCUCAGCCUAGUCCUGUCAGGUGCCCCAGGAGCCACCCUGGGAUCACAGGUCUCACAGUCACCUUUACAGGCAAUAGAUUCGAACCUGCCAGGAUCCUCCUGAUGGUGAAGACAGUAACAUGGAACCUCAGAGAAGCCACACCCAAGGGUUGUCACUCUCUCCCGAGGGCCUUUUUCUUACUCUUGUGCUUAAGAACUAUGUGGAAAGUCACCCCGACUCUGUCCCAUACUCACUCAUUCUGAUGUUCUUUUCUGUUCAGAAUAAACUUGGAGUUGAUGUCCCUAAAAGAUGAGGG
rnacentral:lncRNA from 1 species